AUGAAACACUCCUACGGGAGGCAGCAGUGGGGAAUUUUGGACAAUGGGGGCAACCCUGAUCCAGCAGUGCCGCGUGAGUGAAGAAGGCCUUCGGGUUGUAAAGCUCUUUCAGCAGGGAAGAAGAAAGUGACGGUACCUGCAGAAGAAGCGACGGCUAAAUACGUGCCAGCAGCCGCGGUAAUACGUAUGUCGCAAGCGUUAUCCGGAAUUAUUGGGCAUAAAGGGCAUCUAGGCGGCCAGACAAGUCUGGGGUGAAAACUUGCGGCUCAACCGCAAGCCUGCCCUGGAAACUGUUUGGCUAGAGUGCUGGAGAGGUGGACGGAACUGCACGAGUAGAGGUGAAAUUCGUAGAUAUGUGCAGGAAUGCCGAUGAUGAAGAUAGUUCACUGGACGGUAACUGACGCUGAAGUGCGAAAGCGUGGGUAGCAAACAGGAUUAGAAACCCUUGUAGUCCGAAGUUC
rnacentral:rRNA from 1 species